rnacentral:tRNA from 1 species
GGUAGCAUGGCCGAGCGGUCUAAGGCGCUGGUUUAAGGCACCAGUCAUUUCGAAUGGCGUGGGUUCGAAUCCCACUGCUGCUA